rnacentral:rRNA from 1 species
CCCCAGCGCCACAAGUGGUAGCCAGUUUUAUUGGGCCUAAAGCGUUCGUAGCCGGUUCGGUCUAUCUCAUGUGAAAUCGUCUGGCUUAACUAGACGACGUGCAGGAGACACUGCCGAACUUGGGACCGGAAGGAGUCAGAGGUAUGCUCGGGGGAGCGGUAAAAUGCUAUAAUCCCGAGUGGACCACCUGUGGCGAAGGCGUCUGACUAGGACGGAUCCGACGGUGAGGAACGAAAGCCAGGGGA